AUUGAACGCUGGCGGCAGGCCUAACACAUGCAAGUCGAGCGAGUGGCGGACGGGUGAGUAAUGUCUGGGUAACUGCCUGAUGGAGGGGGAUAACUACUGGAAACGGUAGCUAAUACCGCAUACCAUCGGAUGUGCCCAGAUGGGAUUAGCUAGUGGGUGGGGUAACGGCUCACCUAGGCGACGAUCCCUAGCUGGUCUGAGAGGAUGACCAGCCACACGGGAACUGAGACACGGUCCAGACUCCUACGGGAGGCAGCAGUGGGGAAUCUUGGGCAAUGGGCGCAAGCCUGAUGCAGCAAUGCCGCGUGUAUGAAGAAGGCCUUCGGGUUGUAAAGUACUUUCGGCGGGGAGGCGUUACCCGCAGAGGAAGCACCGGCUAACUCCGUGCCAGCAGCCGCGGUAAUAC
rnacentral:rRNA from 1 species